rnacentral:rRNA from 1 species
GACGUAGGGCGCGAGCGUUUGUCCGGAUUUAUUGGGCGUAAAGAGCUCGUAGGCGGCUUGUUGCGUCAGCUGUGAAAACCCGCAGCUCAACUGUGGGCUUGCAGCUGAUACGGGCAGGCUUGAGUUCGGUAGGGGAGACUGGAAUUCCUGGUGUAGCGGUGGAAUGCGCAGAUAUCAGGAGGAACACCAAUGGCGAAGGCAGCUCGCUGGAACGGUACUGACGCUGAGGCGCGAAAGCGUGGGGAGCGAACAGG